GAUGUCGGGCCGAGAAGGGCUGAGGAGGGUACUGCAGUUCGGGCGGGAAGGCUGAAGUGAGAAACGGGAGCCGGUGCCUGUCGAGGUUUCUCUUCACUCAGGCCUGUGUGUGCGGGACCCCGUGGUCGUGAACCAGAGAUAGAGCAAGAAGGCACAAGCGAGCAAGGGACAGAGAGAGAGAAGAGGAGCUCUCCAGAAGCAGGGUUCGAGUUCAUCCAAAGCAGGGUUCGUGCUCACCUGAAGCGGGGCUUGAGCUCACCCGAAGCAGGGCUCAAGCUCACCCUAUGCGGGACUUGAACUCAUGAGCCAUGAGAUCAUGACCUGAGCCAAAGUCAGAUACCUAACCGACUGAGCCACCCAGAUGCCUAUCUUGUAACAAUUCUUAAAUUAAAAUGUAUUUUGAUUGAUUUAGUAAAGGGACACCUUCUACCUUUUA